rnacentral:rRNA from 1 species
GGGAUAACCUCGGGAAACUGAGGAUAAUCCCCAUAGGGGAAGAGGUCUGGAAUUAUCCUUCCCCAAAGCAUAUCGCCCGAAUGGGGCUGCGGCCGAUUAGGUAGUUGGUGGGGUAACGGCCCACAAGCCUCGAUCGGUACGGGCCCUGAGAGGGGGAGCCGGAGAUGGGGACUGAGACACGGCCCAGGCCCUACGGGGCGCAGCAGGCGCGAAACCUCCGCAAUGCGCGAAAGCGCGACGGGGGACCCCAAGUGCCCACGCACUGCGUGGCUUUUCCGGAGUGUAAACAGCUCCGGGAAUAAGGGCUGGGCAAGUCCGGUGCCAGCAGCCGCGGUAAUACCGGCAGCCGAGUGGUGGCACUUUUAUUGGGCCUAAAGCGUCCGUAGCCGGCCCAGUAAGUCCCUGCUUAAAUCCUACGGCUUAACCGUAGACUGCAGGAUACUGCUGGUUGGGACCGGGAGAGGGGGGGUACUCCGGGGGUAGCGGUGAAAUGUGUUGAUCCCCGGACCACCUAUGCGAAGGCACCCGCCUGGAACGGGUCCGACGGUGAGGGACAAAGCCGGGGGAGCGAACCGAUUAGAUACCCGGGUAGUCCCGGCCGUAAACGCUGCGGACUAGGUGUCGGGUAGGCCUCGUGCCUACCCGGUGCCAAGGGAAGCCGUUAAGUCCGCCGCCUGGGGAGUACGGUCGCAAGACUGAAACUUAAAGGAAUUGGGGAGCACUACAAGGGGGACAACGCUGGCAUCUUACAGGGGCGACGGCAGAUGAAGGCCAGGUUGACGACCUUGCCAGACGAGCCGAGAGGUGGUGCAUGGCCGUCGUCAGCUCGUACCGUGAGGCGUCCUGUUAAGUCAGGUAACGAGCGAGACCCGCGCCAUGUUGCCAUCCUCUCCGGGGGGGGCACUCAUGGGACCGUGGCGCUAAGCUAGAGGAAGGAGCGGGAACGACAG